rnacentral:rRNA from 1 species
CGUGUCGUGAGAUGUUGGGUUAAGUCCCGCAACGAGCGCAACCCUUAUUACUAGUUGCCAGCAUUCAGUUGGGCACUCUAGUGAGACUGCCGGUGACAAACCGGAGGAAGGUGGGGACGACGUCAAAUCAUCAUGCCCCUUAUGACCUGGGCUACACACGUGCUACAAUGGAUGGUACAAAGGGCUGCAAGACCGCGAGGUUAAGCCAAUCCCAAAAAACCAUUCCCAGUUCGGAUUGCAGGCUGCAACCCGCCUGCAUGAAGCCGGAAUCGCUAGUAAUCGCGGAUCAGCAUGCCGCGGUGAAUACGUUCCCGGGCCUUGUACACACCGCCCGUCACACCACGAGAGUUUGUAACACCCGAAGUCGGUGAGGUAACCUUUUAGGAGCCAGCCGCCGAAGGUGGGACAGAUGAUUGGGGU